CUGGAUUGCCUCUCCCCGAGACCCUAACCCCGCCACGCUCCUUCACCGCUGAACGUGAUCGCCGCGGAGUUCGAGCCUAUUUGGCGUCUCCGGAGACUAGCAAGACCCUCUGAAAGACACCGCAUCCCCAGGGAUAAUCCCCCGUGUCCGGCAAAGCUACCCUGCUCGAGCGCGAACCCUGGGACCCAGCGCGGAAGGCAGACCGGCAGCUGGCCGCUGGGCUGUGAACGCCAGGGCCGAGCGGAAGCUUCCCGCCCGGCCGCGAUCGGUGCCUCGGCUCUCAGGGAAGUGGCUACGCGCGGCCCUCGAGAAAGCAGAUUAUCGCAGCCC
rnacentral:lncRNA from 1 species